rnacentral:rRNA from 1 species
AUUGAACGCUGGCGGCAGGCCUAACACAUGCAAGUCGAACGGUAACAGGAAGCAGCUUGCUGCUUUGCUGACGAGUGGCGGACGGGUGAGUAAUGUCUGGGAAACUGCCCGAUGGAGGGGGAUAACUACUGGAAACGGUAGCUAAUACCGCAUAACGUCGCAAGACCAAAAAGGGGGACCUUAGGGCCUCUUGCCAUCGGAUGUGCCCAGAUGGGAUUAGCUAGUAGGUGGGGUAACGGCUCACCUAGGCGACGAUCCCUAGCUGGUCUGAGAGGAUGACCGGCAAACCGGGACUGGAGAACGGGUCCGGACCCCUACGGAAGGCAGCGUUGGGGAAUAUGGCACAAUGGGCGAAAGCCUGAUGCAGCCAGGCGGCGUGUAGGAAGAAGGCUUCCGGGUUGUAAAUUCCUUUCAGCGGGGAGAAAGGGAGUAAAGUUAAUACCUUUGCUCAUUGACGUUCCCCGAAGAAGAGAAACCGCCUAACCCCGU